GAAGGUCGUGAUGGGGAAGGAAGACUUCAGCAAACUUUAAAAAAAUUUUUAUUUUAUUUAUUUAUUUAUUUAUUUAUUUAUUUAUUUAUUUAAGAUGGAGUCUCACUCUGUCGCCCAGGCUGGAGUGCAGUGGCGCGAUCUCGGCUCACUGCAAGCUCCGCCUCCCGGGUUCCCGCCAUUCUCCUGUCUCAGCCUCCCGAGUAGCUGGGACUACAGGCGCCCGCUACCACGCCCGGCUAAUUUUUUGUAUUUUUGGUAGAGACGGGGUUUCACUGUGUUAGCCAGGAUGGUCUCCAUCUCCUGACCUUGUGAUCUGCCCAUCUCGGCCUCCCAAAGUGCUGGGAUUCCAGGCGUGAGCCACCAUGCCCGGCCUAAAAUUUUUAUUUUUUAAUGUAUUUUUUCAUACCUCUUGUUUUCCAGUCUAAGCCCUGGGAGCUUGUCAUAAAUUCUCUGCAGAGAGAACUGUGGACAUGUAAAAGCAAGCCCAGCUCUUCUGGACCUACAGGACUCACAAUCUUCCAAGGCUGGCCAUCCAGCUGCCACUUGUGGGGAGAGCCUCCUUCCUCAGGGGCAGAAGCAGAGCAGAAUCAGCAGCCGCGGAGCAGAGGCCAAGCCUGGCUGGAGGCUGGUGGCAAACAACUUUUUUAGCGAGCAUACUUUAGAAAACUGAACUUCACUUGACACUGAAACUACCCUCAAAAAAUCAUCUCCAAGGUAGGUAAAAUUUUAAUUGGCUUAAUUUUCAGAAGUGCCUUAAAAUUAUUCUGUUAUAAAUUGAUGUCAGUGAGCAAGGAAACCCCUCCAAGUUCGUGAUCUCCUGCCUGCACUUUCCAUUUCUUAUUACAUUUUGAAAACUGACGUUGUUUUGCCAUGUCUCUGAAGGAACAAUGACUUUGAUGCAAUGAAACUCUUUCUAAGGCUUAAUAUUAAUGAUAAUCUUUGACAAAUAUGUAUGAUAUGUCCCUGUAAAAUGU
rnacentral:lncRNA from 10 species